UUGAACGCUGGCGGCAGGCCUAACACAUGCAAGUCGAACGGUAGCACAGAGAGCUUGCUCUCGGGUGACGAGUGGCGGACGGGUGAGUAAUGUCUGGGAAACUGCCUGAUGGAGGGGGAUAACUACUGGAAACGGUAGCUAAUACCGCAUAACGUCGCAAGACCAAAGAGGGGGACCUUCGGGCCUCUUGCCAUCAGAUGUGCCCAGAUGGGAUUAGCUAGUAGGUGGGGUAACGGCUCACCUAGGCGACGAUCCCUAGCUGGUCUGAGAGGAUGACCAGCCACACUGGAACUGAGACACGGUCCAGACUCCUACGGGAGGCAGCAGUGGGGAAUAUUGCACAAUGGGCGCAAGCCUGAUGCAGCCAUGCCGCGUGUAUGAAGAAGGCCUUCGGGUUGUAAAGUACUUUCAGCGGGGAGGAAGGUGUUGUGGUUAAUAACCACAGCAAUUGACGUUACCCGCAGAAGAAGCACCGGCUAACUCCGUGCCAGCAGCCGCGGUAAUACGGAGGGUGCAAGCGUUAAUCGGAAUUACUGGGCGUAAAGCGCACGCAGGCGGUUCUGUCAAGUCGGAUGUGAAAUCCCCGGGCUCAACCUGGGAACUGCAUUCGAAACUGGCAGGCUAGAGUCUUGUAGAGGGGGGUAGAAUUCCAGGUGUAGCGGUGAAAUGCGUAGAGAUCUGGAGGAAUACCGGUGGCGAAGGCGGCCCCCUGGACAAAGACUGACGCUCAGGUGCGAAAGCGUGGGGAGCAAACAGGAUUAGAUACCCUGGUAGUCCACGCCGUAAACGAUGUCGAUUUGGAGGUUGUGCCCUUGAGGCGUGGCUUCCGGAGCUAACGCGUUAAAUCGACCGCCUGGGGAGUACGGCCGCAAGGUUAAAACUCAAAUGAAUUGACGGGGGCCCGCACAAGCGGUGGAGCAUGUGGUUUAAUUCGAUGCAACGCGAAGAACCUUACCUGGUCUUGACAUCCACAGAACUUAGCAGAGAUGCUUUGGUGCCUUCGGGAACUGUGAGACAGGUGCUGCAUGGCUGUCGUCAGCUCGUGUUGUGAAAUGUUGGGUUAAGUCCCGCAACGAGCGCAACCCUUAUCCUUUGUUGCCAGCGGUUAGGCCGGGAACUCAAAGGAGACUGCCAGUGAUAAACUGGAGGAAGGUGGGGAUGACGUCAAGUCAUCAUGGCCCUUACGACCAGGGCUACACACGUGCUACAAUGGCGCAUACAAAGAGAAGCGACCUCGCGAGAGCAAGCGGACCUCAUAAAGUGCGUCGUAGUCCGGAUUGGAGUCUGCAACUCGACUCCAUGAAGUCGGAAUCGCUAGUAAUCGUAGAUCAGAAUGCUACGGUGAAUACGUUCCCGGGCCUUGUACACACCGCCCGUCACACCAUGGGAGUGGGUUGCAAAAGAAGUAGGUAGCUUAACCUUCGGGAGGGCGCUUACCACUUUGUGAUUCAUGACUGGGGUGGUAG
rnacentral:rRNA from 1 species